UACGGGGGGAGUAAGCGUUGUUCGGAUUUACUGGGCGUAAAGGGCGCGUAGGCGGCCAGCACAAGGCAGUUGUGAAAUCUCCGAGCUUAACUCGGAAAGGUCAACUGAUACUGUGCGGCUAGAGUGCGGAAGGGGCAACUGGAAUUCUUGGUGUAGCGGUGAAAUGCGUAGAUAUCAAGAGGAACACCUGCGGCGAAGGCGGGUUGCUGGGACGGUACUGACGCUGAGACGCGAAAGCGUGGGGAGCGAACAGG
rnacentral:rRNA from 1 species